rnacentral:tRNA from 1 species
AGAUAGGUGGCUCAGAGGUUAAGAGCACUGGCUGCUCUUCCAGAGGUCCUGAGUUCAAUUCCCAGCAUCUA